rnacentral:rRNA from 1 species
AGGGUGUAAACGCUGCAGACUUGGUGUUGGAAGCCCUUUGGGGGCAUUCAGUGCCGGAGAGAAGUUGUUAAGUCUGCUACUUGGGGAGUACGUCCGCAAGGAUGAAACUUAAAGGAAUUGGCGGGGGAGCACCGCAACGGGAGGAGCGUGCGGUUUAAUUGGAUUCAACACCGUAAACUCACCAGGGAAGACUGUUACAUGAAGGCCGAGAUGAAGACUCUGCUAGAUUUUCAGAGAGGUGGUGCAUGGCGUCAGUGACU